rnacentral:rRNA from 1 species
CCUACGGGAGGCAGCAGUGGGGAAUCUUGCGCAAUGGGCGAAAGCCUGACGCAGCAACGCCGCGUGCGGGAUGAAGGCCUUCGGGUUGUAAACCGCUUUCAGCAGGGAAGAAAUUGACGGUACCUGCAGAAGAAGCCCCGGCCAACUACGUGCCAGCAGCCGCGGUAACACGUAGGGGGCGAGCGUUGUCCGGAUUUAUUGGGCGUAAAGAGCUCGUAGGCGGUUCGGUAAGUCGGGUGUGAAACCUCCAGGCUCAACCUGGAGACGCCACCUGAAACUGCUGUGACUAGAGUCCGGUAGGGGAGUGUGGAACUCCUGGUGUAGCGGUGAAAUGUGCAGAUAUCAGGAAGAACACCAGCGGCGAAGGCGGCACUCUGGGCCGGUACUGACGCUGAGGAGCGAAAGCGUGGGUAGCAAACAGGAUUAGAUACCCUGAUAGUCCACGCCGUAAACGUUGGGCACUAGGUGUGGGUCUCAACCAACGAGAUCCGUGCCGCAGCUAACGCAUUAAGUGCCCGCCUGGGAGUCGGCCGCAAGGCUAAACUCAAAGGAUUGAACGGCUGNGAGUGCGAGGCGACGACGAGGGAGAGG